rnacentral:lncRNA from 1 species
UUCAAUUUCUCGCCAUCGAUUUUGGUUCAUUUCAUCGUUGGGAUUCUGGUUCGAGAGUCUCGGUCUUGGGUUUUCUUAUUAUCAAUAAAUUCGAUCCUUUGACGGUCCAUUCCUAAACUCUCUCUCUUUAUUAUUUUUAAUGUGGCUAUGAUGUGAGUUUGGUGGUAUGGUUUUGAAUCUUUUCGUACUAUUAAUUGUGUUGCGAGAUAUGAAUGAUUCAUGUUCUUAAUUUGUCUGAACCUUCGUAGAGAGAAUAUGUUUGAUGUUAGUUUUGGGCUUUGAAUAGUGAUUUGAACUAUAGAAUCCAUUGACUUUCCGCUUAAAAAGGAUUUAGGUUUGGGAUUGUGAUUUGAUAAAAGAUGAAUAUAAAUUAGUUUUGUUUUGAUUCAUUAUGAUGGUUGUUGAUUCCUUGAUAGUAUCAUGAUAGGUCAAGCGGGGUAGGCCAAUGUAGGUUUGGGUAAGCAAGAUUUAUGAAUGGUGUUUUUGUUGAAUGAUUGAAUGUGGAAUGUGUGUUGAAUGUUUUCUAGUUUAUCGUACUUGAGAAAAAAAUGUAUUCAUUUUACCAGGGAAUGCCCCGAGGUCUUAUGUACUUAUUCACCGGUGAAUGCCCUGAGGUACCUUGUACUCGGAGGAUGUUUGUGAUGAAGGCUCGGAAUAGUAGAUCAAGCAUUGGAGCGUAGUUUACGAUUAGUGUAGGUUAGCAUAGGUUUAAUUUUAGUACCUUUUUUUUAUUUUUGGGUUGUAAUAAUUGGACUGGACAUUGUUUUGGAUUUGUUUAUUUGAUUGAUCAUUUUAUUUGUGUUUGGUGUGGUUUAUAUAUUCAUAGUAUUCAAAUCAGCCGAUAUAUUCCAUCAAGCGACCGUGGUCAAACCACGGGAUCGAGGGGUGCGUAACACCUUCCACUCGUUCGAUUGAAUUUCUUAACCGGAAUCUCUAUUCGCGGAUCAGUGUAAAAGAGUCAAAAAUAAUUUUUGAAAAAGAAUUCCCAAAGGUGACUUGGCACACCCAAUUAUGUCAAGUGGGGACUCUUUGUUUAAAUGAAAAUAAUCCUUUUUGAAACAAAAUUUUUAUUUUUUGUCACUUUAAUAAAAACCCCUUCGAACUUAAAAUGAUAUCUUUUUUUGGAGAUAAAAAAGGGGUGUGACAGCUCUAGCGACUCUGCUGGGGAUUUUUUAGAAUUCAAGCUUAUUUUUGGAGUCGUAUCGACUUUUUUUGGCAUUAUGGGUGAUAAACAUUGUUUGUGAUUAUUUUUUGUGUUAUUGUUAUCACUGUUGUGCGUUUCUGUGCUCUUUGUUUACAAUUUUUCUUUAUGUGUUACCACUUUAUAUCUGGCAUCAUUUGCAUAACCCGAGUCAAUUCUUUCUGCAACAAGUCACAAAGUGCACGUCAUGCGCACAAACUCUAGUUGAGUCAUCCUUAUUUUAGGGGGAGCUGUUGGAUGUAUCGAGUAGGCGAAAAGCAAAGCAGCCACUAUCGAUCAUAUGCUCCCCCGAAUGGCCUUGUUAGUAAAACACAAUGUAGGUCAGCCUUUAGGUCAUUCUUAUGUGCAUCAUAUUGAGACCUAGUGGGGCCCACUUGGUCCUUUGUAGGAGACUCACCUUUAAAGCAUCCCCACAUGCUAAAUGUUGCAUCUUUGAGGGUAAUGUGGUCAUUUGACGGACUGAUUCGAGGAAAGCAUGUGUUAGAAGUAAGGUGUGCUUGAAAAAAAAAAAGAGAAGUGUGUCAAAAAGGGUUUCGUAGCUUUUAAUGUUCUUUAUGGCUUUUGUUUUUCACAAUUCAAAAAUUCAAAAAGAUUUUUUACCUUUUGCACUCAUUUUGUCAAAAACAAAAACAUCAAAACUAUUUUUCUUUGUUUCUUUAGUAAGCGUCCAUAAUUUAAAAUUUUCAAAAAGAUUUCUUCUAAUAGGAGCUUUUUAUAAAAGAGGAAUGGAAAAGAUGGUAGAAGUUUUGUACAUUUCAUAAAACUGACAUAUCCAAAAAGUUUUUUUCUUUCAUAAUCGUUGGUGUCAGUUUUAUGUGAAGUGUCAAAUUGAAAAGCUCAAAAUGAUUUUAUUGACAUAUUUCAUCGUCUAUCUGUAAUCGCGUCUCUCAGGUCAAGUCUUAGUUUGGUUCUUUAAGACUUAAUUGUCUAAUCUGAACGAACUAUGCAUACUUGAUUUCUGUCCCUCAGGGUGGGAUACGUAGGCAGUCCUCGGUGGAUUCGGUAAUCUUUAUUUUGGCCUUUGUCUUAGUCUUAGCCUAGGUCUUUCACCCCGUAAUCUAGAGUUGUUAGCCAAGUAGGCUGAUUUUAUUCAGUGUUACUGUUCGAUGAAUUGGAGUCAUGAAGUGGUCUGUCCCAUCGACUUAUGUCCGUAUCAAAUUCCCAAUGGUUGGGAACCUUUUACUCUUAUCAACUUUUUGAGAUAAUGUCUUAUCUAUUAUUACAGGAUGGAUCUGUCCACAAAGUCUAGAGUCCUUAUGGUUGUCAAGGUACCCAAAAAGUUAAUCAAGUAGUGGGGCAUGUUCAAUUACUCUGAAAAGCACAAAGUUAGGAAAGUGUUAGGCAAUCUUGUAGCACUCAUGGAUCUCACACCCCGUCCGGAUCUAAUAGAAGCUGCGUUGACUUUUUAGGAUCCAAAUAAUUUGGUGUUUAGGUUCAUAAGUUGUGAAUUGACUCCUACCCUGGCAGAAAUAUUUCAUUUGUUUUAAUUGACUUAUAUGGGUUUGCAGAUGAUUUUAGCCCGCAAUCAUACUCGUAAGAGAUUUCUUCGACUUUGUGGAUUGAAAGAUAACAAGUAUAUGGGAUGUCUCAAACAAUCUUGGAUUUCCUUGGACUAUUUGUUUGCUAGAUUUGGGUCCUUAGAGGGUUUUAAAUGCUUUUGGGAUGAAUUUUGUACUACCAAAAAAGUCUGGGAACAACGUCAUCUUGAGGUUUUCUAUUUGGCUUUGUUGGGCAUCUUAGUGUUCCCGUUAGAUGAGAGAUGUAUAAAUACUCGUCUAUAAUCAGUGGUGAUAGCUUUAUUCAAGAAACAAGAUGAGGUCACCAUUGUACCAAUGAUCUUAACAGAAAUAUAUAAGGCUUUAACUGAAGUAAAAGGAGGGGUAUGGUUUUUUGAGAGGAGUAAUCUGAUAUUACAGUUGUGGAUGAUGAAGCAUUUGCAUACACCUUCUUUGAUUAAAGCAGAUGUGAUCGACCAUUGUCUGAAUGAUCGAGUGCAAGCCAUGUAAGAGAGAAUGCGUUUUGAUAAAUUUUCUUUUCCUAUGGGAGUCAAUUCCUGGAUCGAAUUUCUCAAAUCAAGAACUCCGGACAACAUUCUUUGGUCCUAUAUGUGGUUUCGUCCUAAGAAAAUCUUGAUUGGAUCUCAAAUAUAACUCUUUCUGGUUUUGAUAGGUCUUAAUUGCACUAGGCCUUAUAGUCCAAGAAGGGUGAUGCAUUAGUUGGGUAGGAUGCAAGACGUCCCCCCAAUAAUGGACCUUCUAAAGGAUGUAGAGUACUUUAAAGACCAAGACGUGGGGGAAAGAAAAUAUGAGCAAUUCUAGAAUAAUAUGAUAAAGCUAGGUGUCGAUACUCUUGAGGAAAGUCCAGGGUGCACUCAAAACUAUAUAAUAUGACUACAAUCUCUACCCUGUGGCAUUAGUAUACCCUUACCAGCCCAACUUAGAGGAAGAAUAAGGGAAGCAAUCAUGGUAGAGGACGAUGAGCAGGAAGAUUCGGGUGCCAAGGUGGAGUUUUUGAGAGUUCAGCUGUCAUGUUUGAACAUAAUUGUGGAUGGGUGUCAGAAAAACCUUUUUGGGUGUAAUCUCCAAGAGGCAGGGAUAUGGGCGAGAAUUUUAUUCCCGAGUGUCAAAGCAUCGUUGCAGGAUAUGUUGCGAAUUUUGAGUGGAAAAACGGGGACUUCACAGAUGGGUUCAUCUCAGCCAGGGACCUCACACAGAGCACUAGUUUGAAAGAACAUUUAUUAUCUUUAUUUAGUUUGAGUCUUUUAUAUUUCUGCCAUUGUAAGGUGGUUUCUGUGUUAAGUCAGAGUCAAGUUGUUUUUGAUAUUAGAGUCUUUAUUAGUAAUUUCACGUAUGUCGUCUUAGGGGACUAGAAUGUUGUUUUGUAUUUGUUGUUUAGUUUUAAAGUGGUCCUAAAUUUGAAGUAUGUUUCGUUGUUGCCUUUACCAAAAUGUUGUGAUGUUGCGUCGUUCUUUCUUUUGUUGGUUUUUCAUUUUUUUUAAAAAAAAUCAUCAAAAUCAAUCAAAAUUCUUUAAUUUGCUGGUAUUUAUGCAUAGGCGUCCCGAACUACGCAAGAUCUGAUUCAUGUACAACAUGAUACUAGGCAACCUACUUUUGGGUUCGAUCUAAUCAUUUUGUUUCUUUGUUUUUUAUUAUUUUUUUCCUCUUUUAAAUAAAAGCAAAAGCCAUAAAGAAUGAUAAAAGAAGAUAGAUAGCGAGAGAAGAAAAGAAAGAAAGAAUGAUGAGAGAAGGAAGGGAAAGAAUAGAGACAAAUACAAAAGGAGAGAGAAAUAAAGGCAAAAGAAAAGAGGUAUGGAUUGGAGGAAAGAAGAAAAUGAGCGUAGAUAGAAAUCGGGAUGAUGUUAAAAUGACCUCGCUACCCUCAAAGGCUGGUAGAAAUGAACAUGAAUCUAGGAUAAUUUUACCAAUGUGAUUCCCAUGCAUGUUGUGUGCCCUAAUCCUAACGGGAGUUGUCUUGGAUGAGCAUGUUCUUUCAGAUAACAGUGGUGGAUUUGCAGCACUCUGGCUAGUCACUGGUACUUCACUAGAUCAAAAACAAAGCUCGCCAUGGCUAGUAGGGAGAUUGAAAAUUUACUCAUUGACCCAGAUUAGGAUCCCGGGGAAGAAAGUUCAGAAUGCAAUAAUGAGGUAUUAAGACUUAGAAAACAAUUGCUAGAUCUGCACCGAGCAUGGGCUAGUGGCAUGCCUCCUCCUCUACUCCCUGAAGAUCUUGGGAAUAUCCCCAAUUGCCCACCGCUCUCUCAGGCACAAUUCUCUAUUCCUAUUGAGUCACUGGAGCACGCACCAGGAUUCACUCCGUGGCAAUAUUACCCUGGCACUUCUAGUAUGCCCCUGGCAGUUCCUCAAUGAAGGCCCAUGACUCAGCCGGCGCCACCGACAGCGCCUGUGUUCGUCGAUCUGCCACCACCUUAAGCUCCCACAUAUGCUGUGCGUCCGAUAAUAAUACUUCUUCGGUCUGCCAGAAAGCGAGUAUUGAAGGUUUUAGAUAGUCAGCAUUAUGCCCCGGAGCCUACUUUGAGAAUGAAUGAACCAUAUGGGUAUACUCAGCCACCUGCAUUUCCAUUUGAUAUGGAGAAACCUAUCAUAACAGAGAAAUAAGAGGUCAUAGCGCGGAAAUUGAAAAGUUUGGAACAGGCCAUGAGGAAUCUGAAGGGAACCGGAGGCUUAUAAGAGUGUUUCCUAUAAAGAUCUUUGCAUGUUCCUAGACGUCAACCUUUCCCUCGAUUUUAAAAUACCCAAGUUCGAGAAGUAUGCUGGGCACGGUGAUCCCUUGGCACACUUAAGACAUUAUUGCAACCAAUUGAGGGCUGCAGGGGGAAGAGAAGAGUUUCUUAUGACUUUUUUUGGCGAGAGUCUUUCUGAUCUGGCUUCAGAAUGGUUCGUCGAUCAAGAUAUCGACAAGUGGAACAGCUGGGAUGACUUAGCUUCUGAGUUUGUUCAACAUUUUUAGUAUAAUGUCGACCUGAUUCCUGACGAAAAAUCCUUGGUCAACAUGAAGAAGAAAAGCACUGAAGGCUUUAGGGAAUACACGAUAAGGUGGAGUGAACAGGACGCCAUGGUAAAGCCUCCAAUAAAGAAGAGUAAGCGGGUAGAGGUCUUCAUUCAGGCACAGGAUGAGACCUAUUUUCAAUAUUUACUUCCGGUGAUGGGAAAGUCUUUUAUUGAAGUCCUCAAAAUGGGAGAGAUGAUAGAGUACAGAAUCAAGACCAGCCGAAUAGUGAGUUUUUCCACGUUGAAAGCCACCACACAAGUGAUUCAAGGUGGAUCUGGUGCGUUCGAAGGUAAAAAGAAGAAAGAGGACGUGGCGACCAUUGUAGCUGGAACCCAUUCCUAUCCCAAAAAGUUGCCUUGCCCCUAUCUCCAAUCCCAAGUACAAGUCUACACCCAAGCUCCAUAUAUUUCUUCCCAUCAUUACUACCCUCCAUAAAACCCAUUAUAUUCCAUUCCACCACCCCCGUACCCAGUAUAUAGCAUGUAGCCAUAUGCCCAAACCUUUUCUUACCCGCAAUGGCACGCGCAAGCUCCAUAAAAUCAGCCAUCAGCUCCACCAAAUUACCAAAACCCUUCCAGACUUAGUUUCUAACCCAUUCCCGAGUACAAAAAAGAGAAGGCGGUCAAAAAUUAGUUCACACCUCUUGAGAAGUCAUAUGCUAGCUUGUUUGAUAGGUUAAUAAAUAUGAAGGUCUUAAACCCAAUUCAAGAAAGGCUUUCUAAUCCACCUCUAAGAAAUCUUGAUUAUUUGUUAAGGUGUGCAUGUUGUUCUAACAUACCGGGGCAUAAUAUUGAGAAAUACUGGCAUUUGAAGAGAGAUGUCGAUGAUUUAAUUGAUGCAAAUCAAAUUCUGGUCUAGGCCCCGGAAGUUCCAAACGUUAACCAGAAUCUGUUACCAACCCAUGCAAAAACCAAUAUGUUAGAACUAAUAUAUAAAAAAAGAGUCAUCAAGGUGUUAUAAGCCUAUUGUCAGAAUAUAGACCAAUAAGGACAAAUCAGUGAAUGUGGCAGAUUCGUUGAAAGCAAUGUCAUUAAGCCAAGAAAGAAUGGGAGAAGAUAAAGACCAAGAAAGCACAAAGAAACCCGUGAUCACGGUGCAAGGUGCCAGAAGAUAUGUUGAUUUAAGUCAGGAUAAACCUAAGUUGAUGGUGGUAGGAGCUCCGGGUAAGCCUAUCUUGAUGGUGAAAGAACCACUGGCAGUGCCUAUUUUCAUCAAACGGGUGACCCAACCUCUGAUAGUUGAUAUGAAAAAGGUCCCCUGGAACUAUAAGUGGACUUUGAUGACUUAUUAGGGGAAGGAAGUUGUGGAAGAGGUAGAUGAGAGAGGGGUUCCAACUCAGUUAGGAAGAUGCUUAGUUCCGAAAGGUUUAAGGAAGCCCAAGCCAAUCAUGAUUGGGCCUUCAUCUAUCAAAAAUCCUGUCACUGAAGAAGAAGCCGAAGAAUUUUUAAAAAAGAUGAAAUUGCCGGAGUAUUCAAUAAUAGAUCAGUUAAAGAAGACCCCUGAUCAAAUUUCCCUCUUAUCGUUGUUGUUGCAUUCCAAGGAACAUCGUGAUAUUAUAUUAAAGGUAUUAAAUAAAGCAUAUGUUCCUAGGGAGGUUAUAGUAAAUCUGCUUGAGAAAAUGGUUGGAAAAAUCUUUGAGGUUAAUCGGAUCAGCUUCUUUGACGACGAAUUGCCUAUUGAAAGUAAGGGGCAUAACCAGGGUCUUUAUAUUACAGUUAAGUAUGAAGAUUUCUGCUUCACUCAUGUCAUGAUUGACGGAGGUUUAGGUGUAAAUAUCUGCCCUAUUUCUACUUUGCAAAAGUUAAAUAUUAGUGUUGAGAGGAUCAGGCCCAACCAUGUAUGUGUUAGGGCUUUCUAUGGUGGAAAAUCAAACUCCAUUGGUGAAAUAGAACUAAUGUUGAUUAUAGGGCCUAUUGAGUUCACCAUAGAGUUUCAAGUAUUGAAUAAAGAUUUCUCUUACAAUCUGUUGUUGGGAAGACCAUGGAUCCACAAGGCCAAUGCGGUUGCAUCCACAUUGAACCAAAUGAUCAAGUUUAAGCAUGAGAGGAAAGAAGUGGUUAUUCAUGGUGAAGGGGAUUUGUCUGCCUACAAAGAUUCUUCCUUGUCCCUUAUUGAAGCAAACAAUGUAGAGAAGACAUUUGUCUAUCAAACUUUUGAUAUAGUAUCGGUGAAUCGUAUUAUUGAAGGGCAGGUUAUUUCGGGACCACAAUUGUCUUCCGUUUCUAUCAUGAUGGUGAGUGAGCUUUUGAAAUAUGGAUUUGUGCCAGGGAAUGGUUUGGGAGUGUGUCUACACGGUAUCGUUCAUCCCAUAUGUUUAAUAGAGAACAUGGGCACUUUUGGUCUGGGAUUUGAACCUAUGGCUGAAGAUUUGAAGAAGGCCAAGGGAAGGAAAAAGGAAACAUGGUCACUCCCUCGCCCAAUGCCGCUACUCAGUGAAUCAUUUGUCAAGAGCGAUGUCACGAAGCCUGUAGAAUUUGAAGUUAAAUUAGUUGAUGACUUCCAGAACCUGCUGAUUGAUAUUGAUAUGGUUGAAGCAGGAGAGGGUACCAAUAAGGCAGGCGUGUAGUUCAUAGGUCCUAAGGUCUAGCUCAACAAUUAGGAAGUCACUCCUCUCCCCGUCAGAAAGGAAUUUUGGUAGUUUAUUUUGUUUUUCUUUCUAUUUAUCUGAGUUAUUUCAGGGUUGUAAUUCAGAAUUUAGCUUGUUUACAUUCUGUUGCCAUUUGUGUUUAAACCCUCCUAUCUUUCCCUUUCAAUAAAAUGCAGUGUGCCCUUAUUUUGUGUCUAAUAUAUUUUGAUUUUUAUCUUUUUUUCUUAUAUAGUUCUCUUUAUGCUGAUUCUAAUGACAUGACAUACAUGCAGAAUUUUCAGCCUGAUCUUAAAAUCCAAACUGAUCAAGAAAUAAUGAAGCAACAGGGAGAAUAUGAUGAAGAAGAGGCACUAGAGGAAAAAGCAAAAAGUCAAAACAGUUUGAAGACAAG